GUAGUCAUAUGCUUGUCUUAAAGAUUAAGCCAUGCAUGUCUAAGUAUAAGCAAUUAUACAGCGAAACUGCGAAUGGCUCAUUAAAUCAGUUAUCGUUUAUUUGAUAGUACCUUACUACAUGGAUAACCGUGGUAAUUCUAGAGCUAAUACAUGCUGAAAACCCCGACUUCGGAAGGGGUGUAUUUAUUAGAUUAAAAACCAAUGCCCUCCGGGGCUCACUGGUGAUUCAUGAUAACUUCUCGAAUCGCACGGCCUUGCGCCGGCGAUGGUUCAUUCAAAUUUCUGCCCUAUCAACUUUCGACGGCUGGGUCUUGGCCAGCCGUGGUGACAACGGGUAACGGAGGGUUAGGGCUCGACCCCGGAGAAAACGCCUGAGAAACGGCGUUUACAUCCAAGGAAGGCAGCAGGCGCGCAAAUUACCCAAUGCCGACACGGCGAGGUAGUGACGAGAAAUACUGAUACAGGGCUCUUUUGGGUCUUGUAAUUGGAAUGAGUACAAUUUAAAUCUCUUAACGAGGAACAAUUGGAGGGCAAGUCUGGUGCCAGCAGCCGCGGUAAUUCCAGCUCCAAUAGCGUAUAU
rnacentral:rRNA from 1 species